CCUACGGGAGGCAGCAGUGGGGAAUAUUGCACAAUGGGGGAAACCCUGAUGCAGCGACGCCGCGUGAGUGAAGAAGUAUUUCGGUAUGUAAAGCUCUAUCAGCAGGGAAGAAAAUGACGGUACCUGACUAAGAAGCCCCGGCUAACUACGUGCCAGCAGCCGCGGUAAUACGUAGGGGGCAAGCUGUAUCCGGAUUUACUGGGUGUAAAGGGAGCGUAGACGGCAGCGCAAGUCUGGAGUGAAAUGCCGGGGCUUAACCCCGGAACUGCUUUGGAAACUGUGCAGCUAGAGUGCAGGAGGGGGAAGUGGAAUUCCUAGUGUAGCGGGGAAAUGCGUAGAUAUUAGGAGGAACACCAGUGGCGAAGGCGGCUUACUGGACUGUAACUGACGUUGAGGCUCGAAAGCGUGGGGAGCAAACAGGAUUAGAUACCCUUGUAGUC
rnacentral:rRNA from 1 species